UACGUAGGGUGCAAGCGUUAAUCGGAAUUACUGGGCGUAAAGCGUGCGCAGGCGGUUAUGUAAGACAGAUGUGAAAUGCCCGGGCUUAACCUGGGAGCUGCAUUUGUGACUGCAUGGCUAGAGUUUGGCAGAGGGGGGUAGAAUUCCACGUGUAGCAGUGAAAUGCGUAGAUAUGUGGAGGAACACCGAUGGCGAAGGCAGCCCCCUGGGUCAAGACUGACGCUCAUGCACGAAAGCGUGGGGAGCAAACAGG
rnacentral:rRNA from 1 species